rnacentral:rRNA from 1 species
UACAGAGGGUGCGAGCGUUAAUCGGAAUUACUGGGCGUAAAGGGCGUGUAGGCGGCUAACUAAGUCCGACGUGAAAUCCCCAGGCUUAACCUGGGAACUGCGUCGGAUACUGGAUGGCUUGAAUUCGGGAGAGGAAUGCAGAAUUCCAGGUGUAGCGGUGAAAUGCGUAGAUAUCUGGAGGAAUACCGGUGGCGAAGGCGACAUCCUGGACCGGUAUUGACGCUGAGGCGCGAAAGCCAGGGGAGCAAACGGG